AGUGAACGCUGGCGGUAGGCCUAACACAUGCAAGUCGAACGGCAGCACAGGAGAGCUUGCUCUCUGGGUGGCGAGUGGCGGACGGGUGAGGAAUACAUCGGAAUCUACUCUGUCGUGGGGGAUAACGUAGGGAAACUUACGCUAAUACCGCAUACGACCUACGGGUGAAAGCAGAGGAUCUUCGGACCUUGCGCGAUUGAAUGAGCCGAUGUCGGAUUAGCUAGUUGGCGGGGUAAAGGCCCACCAAGGCGACGAUCCGUAGCUGGUCUGAGAGGAUGAUUAGCCAAACUGGAACUGAGACACGGUCCAGACUCCUACGGGAGGCAGCAGUGGGGAAUAUUGGACAAUGGGCGCAAGCCUGAUCCAGCCAUACCGCGUGGGUGAAGAAGGCCUUCGGGUUGUAAAGCCCUUUUGUUGGGAAAGAAAUCCAGCUGGCUAAUACCCGGUUGGGAUGACGGUACCCAAAGAAUAAGCACCGGCUAACUUCGUGCCAGCCGCCGCGGUAA
rnacentral:rRNA from 1 species